rnacentral:rRNA from 1 species
UACAGAGGGGGCAAGCGUUAUUCGGAAUUAUUGGGCGUAAAGGGCGCGUAGGCGGCUUUGCAAGUGACGGGUGAAAUCCCUCGGCUUAACCGAGGAACUGCCUGUCAAACUGCAUGGCUUGAGACCGGGAGAGGUGAGUGGAAUUCCACGUGUAGCAGUGAAAUGCGUAGAGAUGUGGAGGAAUACCGAUGGCGAAGGCAGCCCCCUGGGAUAACACUGACGCUCAUGCACGAAAGCGUGGGGAGCAAACAGG